ensembl:lncRNA
UGGUCUCUGGUGGGAAUGAAUGCCUUGCAUACCGUGUACCAUACUCAGGGCGACAAAAGCCCAAAAACACUUGGAUCAGCACCGACGAGUGGGACAGCACGGUAGGAUUUGGAGUCUUAUUUCAUAUAUUUGGACAUUUUGCCUUGGAUUGAAUAACAGCAACGCAAUUUCACCACUGACUUCCAAUCCUGGAGGAGUUCUGCUGUUUAGUGGAGUUGCUCAUGCUAACUGUUAGCUUCUGCCAGUCGGGGUGUUGUCUCCCUUUUCCUGACGCUAAACCAUCAACAACCUUCCCCGUCAUGAGUUAAGAUGGGUGAGUCCAUGAAUGUUCGGUUGCAGUGUGACGUAGAUCUGCCAGGCUCUUCUAAUCGUAGAGUUUUACCUUCUCUUUUCUAUCAGAAGCUUAAAUUGUGACAGAUGACCAAAACUUAUAGAAUUGUUAUUAUUUCAUGUCAUUUUUAUCCAUUCCUUGUGGUAGUUUUAUACAAUGAAUAUUACUGUUUGUAUGAAAAUUUCAAUCCAUCACUGGUAAACAAAUAUUCAAAUAAAUGUGAAAUACUACAGUACUUGUACUUAAACCAAUGAAACUGUCACGGUCUGAGGUAUUUCCCUGCUGUCACUCCCUGUCUUUUGAGUUUCCCUCUGCAGGUGGGCGUGUCUGGAGGUGACCAAGCUGCAGCAGAUCUGCUCAUCAGCUGGCCAGGGGUAUUUAAGCAGCUGGGAGACUCCUACACUUCGCUGGAUGAUUACUCUACCUGGACAAACCUACACACUCUCAUCUUGGACUGGCAGAACUCUGGAGUCCACACCACCUGGAUCUCCAACCCCGCACGUCUCUCAGCCUCUCCCCUGGCCAGAACCACCUCCAGCUGCCCACCUAAACUUCCUGGACCUCCAUAAACUCAGCUCCCUCCACGUCUCACUUCUGGAUCUCAGUCCCUGCAAGCCACUCAACUUAGACCGGACCACUCCUCCCUCAAACCAGUUCCCUCCUCUCCAGACCGUAAGUCCUCUGCACAAGUCUGACUUCCCGUUCCUUCCGCAAACUGGUUCUAACUCCGAUCUGUCCACAGUUUUCCCGCACCAGCCUCCCUGUGCAAGAACUCAGCUUCGUGUACGCUGCUCCCUUGGUUUCCCUUCAAUAAAUCCUUAUUUAAACCUUUUAAACCGUCUCCAAUCUGAUUCUGUAUGUCGUGGGUUAGAUCACUUCACCACAACAUGACAGAAACCCUUAGAAAAACCUGAUUACACUGUCCUGAUCCAUAUUUCACUCCAAACAAAACUGCAUGUGACUUGGAAGGAAAUGUAUUUUUAUGUUUGGAUUUUUAUGUUUGGAUUCAAUCUAAUUCCGUAAGCUGCACAGAUACAGACCUGAAGACUAACCACAAAUAAUUGUGAUACUACCUUUAAACCACCACAAUUAUGUUUCAUGUAUAUCAUUUUUGUUUUUUGUGUAUUUUAGUUAAAAUUGAAAAAUAAAAUAAGUGUUCAUUUAUGAAUAAAACACAUGUCAUCAACAUCUGUAUGUCUUACAUGUACAGUCACUUCUGGUGCUGCAUUAUUUAGAGUCGGUAAAUACAGCUGUAUCUGCAGCAGUUAACUCAUCAGUAGAAACACUGGCCAUAGCCUACCAUCAACAUCCUCCUCCUCCUCAGCAUCAUCAGCAUCAUCAUCAUCAGCAUCAUCACCAGCUUCAUCUUCAUCAUCACCAUCUUCACCAUCAUCAUCACCAUCUUCACCAUCUUUAUCAUCAUCAUCAUCAUCUUCACCAUCUUCUUUUUUUUUUUUUUUUUUUUUUACUGUGUCCUGUCUGGCUGUGAAGCAAACAGAACUGAUGUCUGAAUGCUGGUAACAAGCCUUACAGCAUUAAUCAAAGCGUCUGAGAGAGGCAAGAAAAGAUCUUUUAUGCAUCUGAAACAUCUUUGUUAGUGAAUCAGACCCACAUAUAACUAAACAGUAGGGCAGAAUAAACUGUUUAGCUAAAUGUCAAUAAAAGUCUUCUGAAUUGAAAUCGUUAAUGCAAUCAUCACUGGGAAAUGUUGCAUUAUGAUAAAGAGUCAUCUGGGGAGAUAAACCAAGGACUCUGCAACCAGAAAGGCCCCCGCCCCCCUCGAGAGGCACAGAGGAUCGCCCCGGGGGGCCACAACCAGCAGCCGGCAGAGUCCUGGGAGAUAUCAGCGGCCUGAUACUUAAAACUUUAUUGUUAUUGUUUUUGAAUGCUUUGUAAUUCUGACCAGACACGGAGUCAGAGGUGAAAGAGAAAGGAAAAGACAAAAGGUGGGGAGAGAAGGGGGUGGGGGGGGGUUCCACAAAAAUAAACAAUAAUGAACAAGAGUCUGCUUCUAGACCUUCAGAAAAAGACAAGAAAAAAAAGCAAAAGAACAAAAACAAUGGGACACAACAACAAUACAACAAGAUCAAGCUAUCACUCCGUCAAGUUGAUGAAGAAAUAUAUAAUCAAUAUUGUUUAACUGAACAAUCACACAAUAAUAAAUCGCAGUGCAUUAAGUGCCCACCUUAAGACCUGUGUUGAAUGUGCCCAAGCCCAUACUUUUGAGAGCACCAUCUGAGCACCUGUGUGUUUACACGCGCUUGUUUAUGUAAGGUUUCUCUAUAGGAGCGUCCAAUAGAGAGUGUGAGGGACCACCGAUCUGCCCCCCAAAGAUGUGUAGGAGACGGGGGGAGCUCCAAGUCCCAGAGAUCCAGGCGCUGCCCCAGAACACAGGAACCCCAAGGAGACUGCAACCAGAAAGGCCCCGGCUCCCCUCGAGAGGCACAGAGGAUCGCCCUGGGGGCCAUAACCAGCAGCCGGCAGAGUCCCGGGAGACAUCAGCGGCAAGCCCACAGGCCCGCCCGCAGCCUCCCACCCCCUAGCCGGCCGAGCCUGGGACCCAGCGACCCGGGACCCAGGGGUGACCACCCCCGCCGGGGACCCAGCAGAGCCCAGGGACCCUGACCCCACCAGGCAGCCACCGGGAUUGAUCAGGCAGAUGCCAAGAAUCUUGACCCGGGAGCCACGAACACUCAGGCAGACCAAGGCACCACACCCCACACCAUGUGUGGCAGGGGGAGGGGGGACGAAGAUCUAUAUCAUCAAAAGAAGUUCCAGGAGAGGGGAGGGAGCAUGCGCUGACGGCCGAUCACCGGAUACACGGCAGUGUUUAAAGCUGAUGGCAGCUCGUUAGCAAACAUCCACAAACAAUUAAGACGCAUUUUUGCCUAAUUUAUCUACUGACAACGCAAAAAACAAUCUGGUAAGUAUAACUCACUCAAUCUGGAGGUAAGUGAAGAAAAUUUAGAAAGUUUACUAAAUUAUACUGACGAAGUUGUUGAGUUAUUUGUUAUGGGUCCGAAGAAAUCAGCAGCUGAGCCUGAAACAUCUGGGACCAAGAGGAGCCUUCCUCAGGACUCGCCUGAGGCCUCAUCUCCCCGUAAGGACACAUUGGAAUUAUUAGAUUCUAUAGAUAAACGGCUUCUGGGAUUUGAGGGGCGACUUCAUCUGCUUGAGGUUCUACACCAGGAGUUUCAGAACCUCCGUCAGUCUCUGGAGUUCAGCUAGGAGCAGGUGGAGUGGCUCGCCGCUGAGAACGCGUCUCUGCGGGGGUCCGUUUCUUCCCUGGAAGAAGGAAUGACACGGAUCGCCCUGGACAACAAGAUUCUGAAGGAGACGGUUUUGGACCUUCAGGCCCGUAGCCUGAGGGAUAAUUUGGUGUUCGCAGGCCUGCCGGAGCAGGUGGGAGGGGCGGAGAACUGCGAGCAAACGAUAAAAAAAACUUUCUCUAGACCCAAAGGAAGAUACCCGAAGAAACGGUAAACAACAUCACCUUUCACCGGGUACACCACCUUGAAGCUAAAAGAGUGGACAGCAGAAGACCUCGUCCCAUCGUGGCUAAAUUUGAACAUUUUAAGCAGAAGGAUAUUGUUAAAAGUCACGGAAGAAAGCUCAAAGGAAAAGACUUCAGCGUAAAUGACCAGUUCCCUAAGGAAAUCCUGGAUCGGCACCGAGUCCUCUUUCUGCUGCGCAAAAAGUUUAUCCAGGAUGGCAAGAGGGCUGUAAUCUCGGUGGAUAAGCUUUGCGUGGACAAUAAACUUUGCAAGGAGCAAGGAGUGACAGACUGGCUGUAUUAGCCCAACAUCAGGUCAGACAUUUACUAUUAUGAUCAGGAUUCACUAGGUUUGAGCACGUCAGGAUUAAACAGCUGCUAAAUCCAUACUCUAGAUGAUAUCACCUGUUCAUCACCACCUCACACCCCUAUCACCUUUUCUUUUUAGUUCUUCUUUUUUAACCUGUAUCUGUAUUUUCCCAGCCUUUUUACCUGCUUCCAUACCUUUACACCUGUAUGGCACAACCACACAACUUUCCAACACUGCGUUAGACUCGACACACACACACACAAAUAUA